rnacentral:lncRNA from 1 species
CUCUUCUCUCUUUUUGGCGAUUUUCUUCUCUUUGGUGGGGGAAAUUUCAGAUCUGAUUAUAUAUACUUUUCGGCCAUAUUUUCGGUAGUAAGGCUAGUGUUCUGAGCCGGUGAUCUGGUGGUUAUUUUACUGGUGGCUGGCUGGAAUUUUGUGUUUUUCGGGAGCGGGUUCUUUGGUCUGUUUGGUCAGAUUUUUAGACUGUAAAUUGAUACUACAUUAGAGUCCAGGUCAAGGUCGAUUAGGGCUAAUAUUUUGAGGCUAUUUGUAAAGCCGAUGAUAUGAUUUUUCUUGGUGUAAAUCUAAUUCUUGUAAAACGAUCUCGUGUUCUCUCUUGGGAGGUUCUUUGCAUAGUGACGGGCUUGGGUUGUUUUGCCUCUGAGCCCCCCAGAUUAGGCUUGGCCGAACUGGGUGAACAAUUUGUGCGUUCUUUAAUUUUCUGCAUGGUUUUUAUUCUUGCUGUUGCUGCGUAUUGGUGAUUGAAAUCGCACGUUGGGUGAAAAAUCCCAACAAAACUGGUAUAAGAGCCUAGUUAGGCGUGGGUAAGGAAUCUGUAAAUACAGUUUAAUUUUUUGUCAUAUUGAUGUGUUUAAUUGAUCUGUGCAGUCCAAUAAGAAAUUUGAACAGAAGUUCUUGGAGCUAGGGUUUUGAAUUCCGACUUUGCAGUAAAUCACUAGAGUGGAUUUAAUACUGUUAUACACAAUAUUUGGUGAGAUUAUUCCAAUUUAGUUCAUAGUACUUUAUUUGCAUAUGUUCUUGAAUCAUAUGUGAAUAUUACUGUGGUUUGAAUUUGUUCAAGAAUUGAAUAAAUUGUUUAAUUGGAAUAACAACACGUAUUAGGAUAUUUUAGUUUUCUGUAAUCUGAUUGUUUGGUACCAACUAUUAGAAAUCUGAAAUUAAUCCUGCUGUUAUUCAAUUUGUGCAUGCUACAUAACUGUGUUUUUCAUUCCGUCAUCUGUUUAUCUGAAUUCACCUGCAAAACAUUUUUCAAAACUUUUUCUGCAACUUAAGUAAUCUGAUAUAUUAAAAUCACUUGUGUCCGCGAGUAGUAGCCACCCUUUUACAGAACCUACAAUGGGUUCGAAGGUCGAAUUGUCUCAAUUCGAUGGGAAGGGGGAUAAUUCUGUUUGGAAGCAGAAAAUGAGGGUCAUAUUGGUCCAACAAAAGGUUGCUAAAGCCCUUGAAGAUCCUGAAAAAUUUUCUGAUGAAUUGAAAGCUAAGCCUGAUGAAAUUCUAGAUAUGAAUGAAAUUGCAUAUAGUUCUAUUAUAUUGCACUUAUCUGAUAACAUUGUAAGACAAGUUGAAGAACACAAAACCGCUAGAGAAUUAUGGACUGCAUUAGAUACUUUGUUUCUGACUAAAACGUUGCCAAAUAAAAUUUAUCUCUUAGAGAAACUGUUUAGCUUCAGAAUGGAUGUUGGAAAAGACUUGGAAACUAAUUUGAGUAACUUUAACAUUUUUGUUAAAAGGCUUUCCCAUAAUGACAAAAAAUUUGAAGAUGAGGACCUUGCAGUGAUCCUUCUUAAUUCCCUACCUGAUUCCUAUAGGGAUAUCAAGAAUGCAAUAAAAUAUUCAAGAGAUGCUUUAACGCAAUCUAUUGUCAUCAAUGCGUUAAGAUCUCGAGAAUUGAAAAUCAAGAGAGAACUAGAAGUUCAAGGGAGAAAAGUAUGUUUGUGAGAGGAAGAAGUGAAAAGAAGGAAAGUAACUCAAACAACAGAAGAUUAAAAUCUAAAUCAAAAACUAGAUCUAAAUCACAAGAUAGAAGCAAU